CAGAGGUUGAACCUCAAGAUUUUUGUGAAAAAGAGGAAUCUCUUACCUUAUCUCUAGAGUUUGCCUCAGAUAAAUUGCCUGUCACUCGCGAACAACUUGUUGCUGCUCAGGAAAAUGAUCCGUCUUUGCUUUUGCUACCGAUUGCUGGAUCUGCUUUGUCUGCUCGUUUUUCUGGUCCCUAUACUGUGGAAGAAAAACUGAGUGAAAGCAAUUACGUAAUUCAAACACCCGAUCGUAAGCGUCAGUCACGCGUGUGCCAUAUUAAUAUGCUUAAGGCAUAUAAUUCUAGGACGACACUUCAGUCGAAGGAUGUGAAGAAAGUUCUGCCUGUGUCACGAGUUUCUAGCAUUAGCCCUGUACCUAGUAACCCCAGUUUUAAUUGUACAGAGGAUGAGGAUGGCCUCGUGCUUCGGAACGCCCCUCAGCAGUGUGCUAGACUCACCAAUUCGGAGACUUUGUUAGAAUUGUCGUCCCACCUUGCUCACUUAUCAGAUGUUCAAAGGUCUGAUAUUGUUAAUUUAAUACAUGAGUUUCCAAAUCUUUUUGGUGAUACUCCCUCACAGACUACCGUAACACAUCAUGACAUUGAUGUGAACGGUGCCGCCCCUAUUAGACAACACCCAUAUCGGGUUAAUAGUACAAAACGUGAGGCUAUGAGACGGGAAGUGCAAUACCUGCUAAAAAAUAAUUUGGCUAAGCCCAGUGCUAGUCCAUGGAGCUCGCCAUGUAUUCUUGUGCCGAAACCUGAUGGAACGUCACGUUUCUGCACUGACUUUCGAAAAGUCAAUGCGGUUACGGUGCCAGACUCCUAUCCCCUACCGCGAAUGGAGGACUGCAUCGAUAACAUUGGUGCCGCUAAAUUUGUCACUAAACUUGACUUGUUGAAAGGGUAUUGGCAAGUGCCGUUGACUCCUCGCGCGUCUGAGAUUUCAGCGUUUGUUACCCCCGAUAACUUCCUCCAAUAUAAUGUUUUAGCCUUCGGCCUUAGAAACGCUCCGGCCACGUUUCAGCGUCUAGUGAAUACAAUACUUAUGGGUAUUUCAGAUUGUUAUGCCUAUUUAGAUGACUUGGUUAUUAGGUCAGAUAAUUGGGCCGACCAUGUUUCCGUACUGCGUUGUGUGUUUGAGAGGUUGGCCAAAGCAACGCUAACUCUGAAUCUCGCCAAAUGUGAGUUUGGCAAAGCGACAGUAACAUACCUGGGAAAGCAAGUCUGUCAUGGCCAAGUUCGGCCAUUGGAAGCAAAGGUUGCUGCCAUUGCUGGUUUCCCUGCGCCUACUAGUAGGCGUGAGUUACGCCGUUUCCUCGGGAUGGCAGGAUAUUAUCGGAGUUUUUGUAGGAACUUCUCGGUUGUUGUGGCACCCUUAACGAGUGCGCUUAGUAUUCGGAAACCUUUUGUGUGGACCUCAGACUGCCAAAUAGCUUUUGAGGCUGUUAAGCUUUUGCUAUGCAGUGCGCCUGUACUCGCGGCUCCAGACCUUGCGCAACCGUUUAAGUUAGAGGUUGAUGCAAGCGCUCUGGGAGCUGGUGCGGUACUGCUACAAGAAGAUAAAGAUGGAAUUGAUCACCCCGUCUGUUUCUUCUCCCGAAAAUUUAAUAAACACCAAAUAAACUAUAGCACCAUCGAAAAAGAAGCACUAGCGUUGUUAUUAGCCUUGCAGUUCUUUGAGGUGUACAUUGGCUCGAGUUCUACCCCUGUCGAGGUCUUUACAGACCAUAAUCCUUUAGUGUUUUUAUCGCGAAUGUACAAUCAGAACCAGCGCCUUAUGCGUUGGUCGCUGAUUCUACAGGCAUAUAAUUUAAAUAUUCGCCAUAUUAAAGGGACUGACAAUGUACUGGCUGAUACAUUGUCUCGUAGUUUUGAAUAAUUAAAACAUUUGAAUGAAUUGUGUGUAAUAGUGCGGUAACACCACUAUGUGUUAAAAAUAAAAAUGUCAGGUAUUGAAUUGUGUAUAGGUAAGGGGGAAUUGGCACAAUGUGUGUACGCCUGUAAUUAUGUAGGCUACUUUGGUAUUUUAGAAUGAAGUGGUGUAUAAGAUUACCAUGUGUGUUAACUAACUUAAAAAUAAAUAAAUGUGUUAAGUUAGUUCUUAAGGGGGGAAGUGUUACGUGCCAUGUUUUUCUUUUGUGUGGACUUCCCUGCCUUCACCUGUCAGUCACCAUCCACCAAGUCCCACCUUCACCAAGCCCCACCCUCCGUGUCAAUUCUGGACAGCCAAUCAUAACUCGCCACAUCUACUAUAAAAACCCCACCUGUUUGUAACAAUGCAUGUCUGACUGUUUGCUCUGUGUUAUGUCUUUGACUAUGUAUGUUAACACCUCAUUUGAACUUGUCUUGUUUUAUGUACACUUCCAAGGCUUGGGACAGGUAAGACUGGGGGCUCCUGUACAUAUGCCCGUAGGCUAUGUUUUGUAUAUAUUCACUAGUCCUUAGGGGUGCUUGCCAACCAAUUGUAUUUCAGUCUGCUAGUUAGAGUAGAUAGGCCUUUUGUUUGUGUACUUGAUACACUAGAUUAGUUUACUCUCUGGUUUAGCUAGCUUGUUUGUUUGUUCUUUUGGCAACAUCCAGCGUCCGUUGACCCUGGUAGUGUGUGUCUGGGUUGUUAUAUGUCUGGUAGUUUGUUGCACCGUUUUGUUUAUCACAGUAAACACCCGUGCACUGA